rnacentral:rRNA from 1 species
GGUUUACGGUUAACGUCCGUACGUAACGAGCGACACCUCGCCGUAUGUUACAAGUGUCAUACGGGACUGCCGGUAAAAAAGCCGGGGGAAGGUGGGGAUGAUGUCAAGUCAGCAUGACCUUUAUAUCUAGGGCUACACACACGCUACAAUGGUCUGUACAAUGGGUAGCCAAGCCGCGAGGCGGAGCCAAUCCUAAAAAGCAGGCCUCAGUUCAGAUUGCAGUCUGCAACCCGACUGCAUGAAGCCGGAGUUGCUAGUAACCGCAGGUCAGCAAUACUGCGGUGAAUACGUUCCCGGGUCUU